rnacentral:rRNA from 1 species
CCUACGGGUGGCAGCAGUGAGGAAUAUUGGUCAAUGGGCGAGAGCCUGAACCCGCCAAGUCGCGUGAAGGAUGAAGGAUCUAUGGUUUGUAAACUUCUUUUAUAUGGGAAUAAAGUGAGGAACGUGUUCCUUUUUGUAUGUACCAUAUGACUCAGCAUCGGCUAACUCCUUGCCAGCAGCCGCGGCAAUACGGAGGAUGCGAUCGUUAUCCGGAUUUAUUGGGUUUAAAGGGUGCGUAGGUGGUAAAUUAAGCCAGCGGUGAAAGCUUGUGGCGUAACCAUAAAAUUGCCUUUGAAACUGGUUGACUUGAGUAUAUUUGAGGUAGGCGGAAUGCGUGGUGUAGCGGUGAAAUGCAUAGAUAUCACGCAGAACUCCGAUUGCGAAGGCAGCUUACUAAACUAUAACUGACACUGAAGCACGAAAGCGUGGGGAUCAAACAGGAUUAGAUACCCUAGUAGUC